rnacentral:rRNA from 1 species
GACGAACGCUGGCGGCGUGCUUAACACAUGCAAGUCGAACGGGCCUUGUCCCCUUUUUUUUUGGGGGUGGGGUUAGUGGCGAACGGGUGAGUAACACGUGAGUAACCUGCCCCUCACUUCUGGAUAACCGCUUGAAAGGGUGGCUAAUACGGGGUGUUCUGGCCUGCUCGCAUGGGUGGGUUUGGAAAGAUUCGACCGGUUUUGGUUGUUUUGGUGGGGGAUGGGCUCGCGGCCUAUCAGCUUGUUGGUGGGGUGAUGGCCUGCCAAGGCUUUGACGGGUGGCCGGCCUGAGAGGGUGGGCGGUCACACUGGGACUGAGACACGGCCCAGACUCCUACGGGAGGCAGCAGUGGGGAAUAUUGCACAAUGGGCGCAAGCCUGAUGCAGCGACGCCGCGUGAGGGAUGGAGGCCUUCGGGUUGUGAACCUCUUUCGCCAGUGAAGAAGGUCCUGCUCUUUGUGGUGGGGUUGACGGUAGCUGGGUUAAUGAAGCGCCGGCUAACUACGUG